rnacentral:misc_RNA from 1 species
GAUGAAGAACGCAGCGAAAUGCGAUAAUUAAUGUGAAUUGCAGAAUUUAGUGAAUCAUCGAGUCUUUGAACGCACAUUGCGCCCCCUGGUAUUCCGGGGGGCAUGCCUGUCCGAGCGUCAUUGCUGCCCUCAAGCACGGCUUGUGUGUUGGGCCUCCGUCCUCCUCCCGGGGGACGGGCCCGAAAGGCAGCGGCGGCACCGCGUCCGGUCCUCGAGCGUAUGGGGCUUCGUCACCCGCUCUUGUAGGCCCGGCCGGCGCUUGCCGACACAUCAAUCUUUUUUCCAGGUUGACCUCGGAUCAGGUAGGGAUACCCGCUGAACUUAAGCAUAUCAAUAAGCGGAGGA